AACGCGAAGAACCUUACCAGGUCUUGACAUCCCGGUGACCACUAUGGAGACAUAGUUUCCCCUUCGGGGGCAACGGUGACAGGUGGUGCAUGGUUGUCGUCAGCUCGUGUCGUGAGAUGUUGGGUUAAGUCCCGCAACGAGCGCAACCCUUAUUCUUAGUUGCCAUCAUUCAGUUGGGCACUCUAAGGAGACUGCCGGUGAUAAACCGGAGGAAGGUGGGGAUGACGUCAAAUCAUCAUGCCCCUUAUGACCUGGGCUACACACGUGCUACAAUGGACGGUACAAACGGUUGCCAACCCGCGAGGGGGAGCUAAUCCGAUAAAACCGUUCUCAGUUCGGAUUGUAGGCUGCAACUCGCCUACAUGAAGCCGGAAUCGCUAGUAAUCGCGGAUCAGCAUGCCGCGGUGAAUACGUUCCCGGGCCUUGUACACACCGGUAUCUC
rnacentral:rRNA from 1 species